UAAGUUCACGGCGAUGACGUUCGCCUUUAAAUAUUCGUAAGGAUUGAUGACGUCUGUUUAUUC
rnacentral:ncRNA from 2 species